AGAGGACCUUUCAGAAUCAAUCGUUAAU
rnacentral:piRNA from 1 species